rnacentral:rRNA from 1 species
UACAGAGGUCCCAAGCGUUGUUCGGAUUCACUGGGCGUAAAGGGUGCGCAGGUGGGUUUGCAAGUUUGAUGUGAAAGCCCCGGGCUUAACCCGGGAAUGGCAUUGAAUACUGCAGAUCUGGAGGAUUGGAGGGGGGACUGGAAUUCAUGGUGUAGCAGUGAAAUGCGUAGAGAUCAUGAGGAAGACCAGUGGCGAAGGCGGGUCUCUGGACAGUUCCUGACACUGAGGCACGAAGGCCAGGGGAGCAAACGGG